GAUGAACGCUGGCGGCGUGCCUAAUACAUGCAAGUCGAGCGAACGGACGAGAAGCUUGCUUCUCUGAUGUUAGCGGCGGACGGGUGAGUAACACGUGGAUAACCUACCUAUAAGACUGGGAUAACUUCGGGAAACCGGAGCUAAUACCGGAUAAUAUUUUGAACCGCAUGGUUCAAAAGUGAAAGACGGUCCUGCUGUCACUUAUAGAUGGAUCCGCGCUGCAUUAGCUAGUUGGUAAGGUAACGGCUUACCAAGGCAACGAUGCAUAGCCGACCUGAGAGGGUGAUCGGCCACACUGGAACUGAGACACGGUCCAGACUCCUACGGGAGGCAGCAGGAGGGAAUCUUCCGCAAUGGGCGAAAGCCUGACGGAGCAACGCCGCGUGAGUGAUGAAGGUCUUCGGAUCGUAAAACUCUGUUAUUAGGGAAGAACAUAUGUGUAAGUAACUGUGCACAUCUUGACGGUACCUAAUCAGAAAGCCACGGCUAACUACGUG
rnacentral:rRNA from 1 species